rnacentral:rRNA from 1 species
UACGUAGGUGGCAAGCGUUGUCCGGAAUUACUGGGCGUAAAGGGCUCGUAGGCGGCCAACUAAGUCAGACGUGAAAUCCCUCGGCUUAACCGGGGAACUGCGUCUGAUACUGGAUGGCUUGAGGUUGGGAGAGGGAUGCGGAAUUCCAGGUGUAGCGGUGAAAUGCGUAGAUAUCUGGAGGAACACCGGUGGCGAAGGCGGCAUCCUGGACCAAUUCUGACGCUGAGGAGCGAAAGCCAGGGGAGCAAACGGG